GGGUCUAUGUUGAGAAACCUAUGUCCUGAAGAGAGGUGAUGACAUGAAAAUCAUGCUCAGGUUCCAGCUGCUGAGGCCC
ensembl:snoRNA SNORD115 Small nucleolar RNA SNORD115